rnacentral:rRNA from 1 species
UCGGGAAUUUUGGGCAAUGGGCGAAAGCCUGAUCCAGCAAUGCCGCGUGAGUGAUGAAGGCCUUAGGGUUGUAAAGCUCUUUUACCAGGGAUGAUAAUGACAGUACCUGGAGAAUAAGCUCCGGCUAACUCCGUGCCAGCAGCCGCGGUAAUACGGAGGGAGCUAGCGUUGUUCGGAAUUACUGGGCGUAAAGCGCACGUAGGCGGCGACUCAAGUCAGAGGUGAAAGCCCGGGGCUCAACCCCGGAACUGCCUUUGAAACUAGGUUGCUAGAAUCUUGGAGAGGCGAGUGGAAUUCCGAGUGUAGAGGUGAAAUUCGUAGAUAUUCGGAAGAACACCAGUGGCGAAGGCGACUCGCUGGACAAGUAUUGACGCUGAGGUGCGAAAGCGUGGGGAGCAAAC